GGCUGCGCCGAUGGUAGUGGGUUAUCAGAACUUAUUAAUAUCAGUGUCAGUAAAGUUGGUAUUCAGCCUCCCACUGCUAAAUGUGACUGACUUUAA
rnacentral:Y_RNA from 1 species